AACAACAGAGUAUUAACGAGGAAGGUCAUGAUCACCAGUGACAAUGUGUUCUACGAGUUCAGAAUCUUUUAUCCCCAUCUUAUCUAUUUUCAUAUCGUUUUGAGCCUCUCAACCUCUGCUUCAAACCGUGCUCUCUGUCUUUUGCUUUCAAGAGACCUGAGAGCAUUCCUGAUGGCAAACGCAAUAACAAGAGCAGUAAUUGCCAGCUCCUCUCCUUCAUUUCUCGUCUCCCUCGACGCAAUUGGCGACACUUUAUUUACUAUUUCGUUGACGAGAGACUUAGGUGUCGAUUCCCACAUGGGGUUUGGCUGUGGCGGAGGGGUCAGUAGUGGGUUUAUUGUGGAGUUUAAGGAUUUGAAGAGAGAUUGUGGGCUUGAGGUUAAUAGGAUUUUGACCGAGUUUGAAAGUCGUUGUAAAUGGCGGUCCCAGAAUAAGAGAGAUGCUGUGUCCGUGUGGUGGAGUAAGCUCCUGGAUUGGAUGCGAGCGCCCACGCCCUAAUUUGUCUUUUUUCCAAUCGGACAACCAACAGGACGAGGUAGAGCAACUUGCAAAGAACACGAUUAAUCAUCAACAAUGAUGCUUUGGAAUUUGAAGUUCUUGGACGAGAAUACCAAACACACACAUUCAGUUUGCAGAUUCUAUUGAAAAAUUAUCACAAUUGUACCCUUCAACAUCUUCAUAUUUGGUUAAAUAUGAAUUAAGUUUUUUCAUUUAUUUCUA